rnacentral:tRNA from 1 species
GCCUGGGUGGCUCAGUGGGUUAAAGCCUCUGCUUUCGGCUCAGAUCAUGAUCUCAGGGUCCUGGGAUCGAGCCCCACCUCAGGCU